rnacentral:tRNA from 1 species
CGCGGUUUAGAGAAGCGGAAUCUCGUGGUGCUCAUAACUCCAAGUCGGUGGUUCGACUCCACCAGCCGCAA